AUGGAGGACAGGCAAAACAGAACCCAGCGGAGGCGCCGGAAGGCUGAACGGAUGGACAAGGUGAGGAACUACUUUGCUCAAAGGGAGGCUGAUGACACUGAUGGACACAAAGCACCUCCAGAAACAAAACAGGCACCUCCAGAAGGAAACUCAGAGUUUGUCUUUGAAGCUCUUGGAACACUCAGUGAAGCUGUUCUCAAUGGAGAACAUGGCUCUGCAGCUAACAAGGAGGUUGAGUCGUCCACAGGCCCGUCAUCAGGAGGGGAGCAGGAGAGCACAGAGCAUCCACCCAAAGAUCCUGCUAUAGAAACGCAAAUCCUCAGUGUCACAGAGGCUGAUAGAAGCUGCCAGGAUCAAGACAGAAGCAGAGAAAGCUUCACAUUCACCACCGUGGUGGCUCCUCUGUAUCAGCAGGUGUUUGGCAGGUUAGACGCUGACAUUCCGAGUGCAGCCGAUGUGGAAAAACAAACUAAAACGAGGGUGGAUCUCUCUGAGAAGACGCCGAUUCUCUGUAAACAAACUUUAGACUCUAGAAAACAGGAUGGCAUAGAUGCAGUGCAGAGUCCAGCCCAGUCAGAACAGACUCAAAAUCCGCGUCCCGCUUUAGCAGACAUGUUAGAAGGUCUUGGCGGAGUAUGCGGUUCUUUUGACUCAGACUUGUUGAGUUCCCAGACAAAGACGAGGGAUAAAGAUAGUGAUGGUCUCCGGGGAGAGGCGCAGGAAGAUGAUCUGACCCGUGACCUCAGCCGAGCCUCUGAUGGACCGCCGCCAGCAGAGCCAGCUUGUUUGCACGUUGCUGUUAAUGUUGCUGACAGAAAUGCACAGAUUGAAACAGGAGAUGAUCCCAAAUCCCUUCUGAGGGAGUCGGGGCGCUCUGGUGACGAUGCAGACCAGCAGAGCAGCUGUGACCCGGCUGAGGUGACGCAGAACAAUGACUCGGCAAAAAUAAAGAAUAAAACCAGCACGUCUUUAACAAAAGAAGAAUGGUUAGCAGCGGAAAAUGACUUAGAGUCUGAAAACAGGGAUCAAGCAGUCAUUAAAACCAGCACAAAUAGCCUCAGUUCAAGACCAGAAACCGUUUUCAAAAAUGUUAACAUAAUACAAACAGAGUCAUCUUGUAAAGACGAAAUCACACAUUCUGUAGUAAUAAAUAUAAUAUGUGAAGCAGCUGAGUCCAUGGAAAAUCCAGAAAGUAAGGAAUCUAAACCCAUAGAUGCAUUUGGAGAAACUCUAGAAGGAAAUGACCACCAUGGAAUGAAAAAUGCGUCAAUAAAUGAUGGAAAUUUCUAUUUAGCAGAAAUUGAUUUGGUGAAAAACUGGGAAAUGAUGGUUGAGGAGGAGGAAAGCAACAUAUUAACAAAUGAAAAGCUGAUUGAGUUAAAUGCGGAGGACUGCAGAGGAAUGAAGACAGAUAAAAUAGAGGUUUUUCUAGAAGAGCUGAUAGCUGCAGAAAUGAAAGCACAUGAAGCAGAGUGGGAACGCAAUGAAGAGGUCGAAAAAUGCACCGACUCAGAGCCAGUCCAGGUUGGAAUAACAGAACAUUUUGUUGGGGAAAAAAUUGCAGAAGAAAAAGAUUUAGCUUUUGAUGAAACGGUUAAUCAAAGUGAGAAGGAAACAAAAGAGGAAGAAACAGGACAAAACCUAGAAUCUGAAGGAGGUUUGGAGUUUGAGGGAAAGGAAAAGUUCGAAAACAUCAAUAAAGAGGAGCAGAGCACACUGGAUAUUUUGGCUGAUAAUAGUGGAGAAAUAGAAAAGGCGGAUCCAAACACAGAGAUCAGAGAUGAUGUAAAGGGUCCAGAUGUUAUUGGAGACAUGGAGCAAGAGGUUGUGUCUGAUAAAGCACAUGGAUCCACCCAAUCUGAUGACAUUUUACCCAAAAAGGAUGGCUCAUAUUGUGCUAAAGAUUUCCGACAGAGCUGUCCGAGUGAAGAAACGUCCGCUUUAGCAUCUGAGCGCAGCAGUGAUGGAGCAGGUCAGGACAGCAGCUCGGCAGAGUCCGAUUCAGACGACGAGGUGGAGCUGUACAUGUACCGCCUCAGAGCUGCGGGGGCAACAGCACCGGCAGGUAAAGACAAAGUCAAAGAAGCAGGCUUCCCGGUGGGCAAAAGGCCUUCCGCCAGCAGAGCCAGACCCCCAUCCCCCGUCCUACCCUCCAUCUGUGAAUCUGCAGAUGAAGAGCAGCACGUCAGCCGCGCCCAGCAGAAUCGAUCUGCGGCGGCUCCGUCGCAGGGCAACUACCAAAAGGUUACGUGGCGGACAUCCUGGAGCAAUAUUUUAAAAUCAUUGUUGUGUGUCACCUUGCUGGUGGUGUUUCUGGCCGUGGCAAACCGGUAUGAUUUUCUGGCCUGUUUUGGGCUCUAUCUGAUGUCUGUGGUUUGGCUGUGGUGUCAAGGAGAGAAACAAGUGUCUCAAAGCAACAAGUGA
ensembl:lncRNA